rnacentral:tRNA from 6 species
GGGCUUGUAGUCUAGCGGUUAUGAUAUCUGCCUCACACGCAGAAGGUCCCCAGUCCGAAUCUGGGCAAGCCCA